rnacentral:rRNA from 1 species
UGCCUGGCGGCAAUAGCGCGGUGGUCCCACCUGACCCCAUGCCGAACUCAGAAGUGAAACGCCGUAGCGCCGAUGGUAGUGUGGGGUCUCCCUAUGCGAGAGUAGGACACUGCCAGGCAU